GAUGAACGCUGGCGGCGUGCCUAAUACAUGCAAGUCGAGCGGCAGCACGGUCUUCGGACUGGUGGCGAGCGGCGGACGGCUGAGUAACGCGUAGGAAUAUACCCCAAAGUGAGGGAUAACUGCCCGAAAGGGUGGCUAAAUACCGCAUGUGGUCUUCGGACUAAAGCCUUCGGGCGCUUUGGGGAAAUAGCCUGCGUAAGAUUAGCUAGUUGGUGAGGUAAUGGCCCACCAAGGCGACGAUCUUUAGCUGGUCUGAGAGGAUGACCAGCCAGACUGGAACUGAGACACGGUCCAGACUCCUACGGGAGGCAGCAGUAGGGAAUUUUCCACAAUGGGCGAAAGCCUGAUGGAGCAACGCCGCGUGCAGGAUGAAGGCCCUCGGGUCGUAAACUGCUUUUAUGUGCGAAGAAUAAUGACGGUAACACAUGAAUAAAGGGUCGGCUAACUACGUGCCAGCAGCC
rnacentral:rRNA from 1 species